GCUGAAAUAGCUCAGUUGGGAGAGCAUCAGCCUGAAGAUCUUAAAGUGUCCCUGGUUCAAUCCCAGGUUUCAGCA